rnacentral:rRNA from 1 species
CCUACGGGUGGCAGCAGUGGGGAAUAUUGCACAAUGGGGGAAACCCUGAUGCAGCGACGCCGCGUGAGUGAAGAAGUAUUUCGGUAUGUAAAGCUAUAUCAGCAGGGAAGAAAUAGCGACCUUUGGGUCGCCAGACGGUACCUGAUUAAGAAGCCCCAGCUAACUACGUGCCAGCAGCCGCGGUAAUACGUAGGGGGAAAGCGUUAUCCGGAUUUACUGGGUGGAAAGGGAGGGUAGACGGAAGCGCAAGUCUGAAGUGAAAUGCCGGGGCUUAACCCCGGAACUGCUUUUGAAACUGUGCAGCUAGAGUGCAGGAGAGGUAAGUGGAAGUCCUAGUGUAGCGGUGAAAUGCGUAGAUAUUAGGAGGAACACCAGUGGCGAAGGCGGCUUACUGGACUGUAACUGACGUUGAGGCUCGAAAGCGUGGGGAGCAAACAGGAUUAGAUACCCGAGUAGUC